GAGAGAACAAACAUCCGCGGAGAACAAACAUCCGCUCGUGUUCUUUUUUAAUCACAACAAGGAGAGAAGAAGAAGAAGAAGAAAAAAAGAACGAUCUCUACGGCGGAUUAACUCACGGGCUGGAGGUUGUCCAUGAUGUCCACGAUGUCCACCGUCUCUGGUCUACAUCCUCCUCUUCUCCACAGACUCCUGCAGAAAGGUCAAAGGUACACGGUUUAUCACGGUUUAUCACGGUUUAUCAGCAAACGUCCAGUGGAGGGAGCUGAAGCUGAAGAUGGUGACGCACAUGAACGCCACACGUGUCACAGGUCCAUUUAUUACAGUUGAUGUUUCAUCAGUAACUCAGCAGGACUGGGAGUGUCUCUGUCUUAUGACGAUGCCGUUCCAGCUCUCAUGAUUCUGAAGAGGGAGUUGAUGUUGUUGCUCUUGAUGGCGUCUCGGCAGGCAGCGAUCACCUGGUUUUUGGGCUUACCCACUAGAGGGCAGCAGCGUGGACAGAGAGAGACAGGGGGAAAAAAAGACAGAUUUGAUUUGUUUUUGUCGUUAAAGUGAUGCUGUGGAAGAAUUCUGGAAAAUAAAACAGUCUCUGUCUGAAGUCAUUGUGGUUCAGUUGGUACAUGUGUUUAAAAAAGAGGGAAAAUUAAAAGUUAAAAACAUUUUCUGAUCACUUUUUUUCACGUUUUUAAUGUCGAGACAGUGUGAGUUUUUCCUCCUAAACUAAUUUAAUUUCUAAACUGGACUUAAUUUUCCCUUUUUUUUUUUUAAACUCAUGUACCAACUCAACCACAAUGACCUCAGAAUUCUUCUGUUCCUGCAGC